GGAGGCAGCAGUGGGGAAUUUUGGACAAUGGGCGCAAGCCUGAUCCAGCAAUGCCGCGUGUGUGAAGAAGGCCUUCGGGUUGUAAAGCACUUUUGUCCGGAAAGAAAACUUCCGCCCUAAUACGGUGGGAGGAUGACGGUACCGGAAGAAUAAGCACCGGCUAACUACGUGCCAGCAGCCGCGGUAAUACGUAGGGUGCGAGCGUUAAUCGGAAUUACUGGGCGUAAAGCGUGCGCAGGCGGUUCGUUAAGACAGAUGUGAAAUCCCCGGGCUUAACCUGGGAACUGCAUUUGUGACUGGCAAACUGGAGUAUGGCAGAGGGGGGUAGAAUUCCACGUGUAGCAGUGAAAUGCGUAGAGAUGUGGAGGAAUACCGAUGGCGAAGGCAGCCCCCUGGGCCAAUACUGACGCUCAUGCACGAAAGCGUGGGGAGCAAACAGGAUUAGAUACCCUGGUAGUCCACGCCCUAAACGAUGUCAACUGGUUGUCGGGCCUUCAUUGGCUUGGUAACGUAGCUAACGCGUGAAGUUGACCGCCUGGGGAGUACGGUCGCAAGAUUAAAACUCAAAGGAAUUGACGGGGACCCGCACAAGCGGUGGAUGAUGUGGAUUAAUUCGAUGCAACGCGAAAAACCUUACCUACCCU
rnacentral:rRNA from 2 species